rfam:Ipomoea nil DNA, scaffold: scaffold1993, cultivar: Tokyo-kokei standard.
AUCAGAGUGGCGCAGCGGAAGUGUGGUGGGCCCAUAACCCACCGGUCUCAGGAUCAAAACCUGGCUCUGAUA